rnacentral:rRNA from 1 species
AUUGAACGCUGGCGGCAUGCUUUACACAUGCAAGUCGAACGGUAACAGGCCUUCGGGUGCUGACGAGUGGCGCACGGGUGCGUAAUGCAUCGGAACGUACCCAGAGGUGGGGGAUAACGCAGCGAAAGCUGUGCUAAUACCGCAUGUGAUCUGAGGAUGAAAGCGGGGGACCGCGCAGCAAUGUUUGGCCUCGCGCCUUUGGAGCGGCCGAUGUCGGAUUAGCUAGUUGGUGGGGUAAAGGCCUACCAAGGCGACGAUCCGUAGCUGGUCUGAGAGGACGACCAGCCACACUGGGACUGAGACACGGCCCAGACUCCUACGGGAGGCAGCAGUGGGGAAUUUUGGACAAUGGGCGCAAGCCUGAUCCAGCAAUGCCGCGUGCGGGAAGAAGGCCUUCGGGUUGUAAACCGCUUUUGGCAGGAACGAAACGGUGUCCGCUAAUACCGGGCGCUAAUGACGGUACCUGCAGAAUAAGCACCGGCUAACUACGUG